rnacentral:rRNA from 1 species
GGAAGGGGUGUAUUUAUUAGAUAAAAAUCAACUUUGUUGGUGAAUCAUAAUAACUUCUCGGACCGCAUGGCCUCGUGCUGGCGGUGCUUCAUUCAAAUAUCUGCCCUAUCAACUGUCGAUGGUAGGAUAGAGGCCUACCAUGGUUGCAACGGGUAACGGGGAAUWWGGGUUCGAUUCCGGAGAGGGAGCCUGAGAAACGGCUACCACAUCCAAGGAAGGCAGCAGGCGCGCAAAUUACCCAAUCCCAACACGGGGAGGUAGUGACAAUAUGUAACAAUAUACGGCCUUAUACGUCGUAUAAUUGGAAUGAGUACAAUUUAAAUCCCUUAACGAGGAACAAUUGGAGGGCAAGUCUGGUGCCAGCAGCCGCGGUAAUUCCAGCUCCAAUAGCGUAUAUUAAAGUUGUUGCAGUUAAAAAGCUCGUAGUUUGGACCUUGGACCUGGACAGGCGGUCCGCCUCACGGCGAGUACUGUCUUGCUGGGUCUUUCCUCUUGGUGAUCUGUUGUUUCGGCAGCAGGGACCCAGGCCUUUACUUUG